rnacentral:tRNA from 1 species
GGAGGAUAGCUCGGUGGUAGAGAGCAUGCUUAUCAUGCAUGAGGUCCUGGGUUCAAACUCCAGUAUCUCCA